CGUGAGAUGUUGGGUUAAGUCCCGCAACGAGCGCAACCCUUGUCUUUAGUUGCCAUCAUUAAGUUGGGCACUCUAGAGAGACUGCCAGGGAUAACCUGGAGGAAGGUGGGGAUGACGUCAAAUCAUCCUGCCCCUUAUGCUUAGGGCUACACACGUGCUACAAUGGGUAGUACAGAGGGUUGCCAAGCCGUAAGGUGGAGCUAAUCCCUUAAAGCUACUCUCAGUUCGGAUUGUAGGCUGAAACUCGCCUACAUGAAGCUGGAGUUACUAGUAAUCGCAGAUCAGAAUGCUGCGGUGAAUGCGUUCCCGGGUCUUGUACACAC
rnacentral:rRNA from 1 species